rnacentral:SRP_RNA from 1 species
GCGUGGACUAGGCCGGGCAGUUAGGCCCUGCUUGGAAACCCGCGAAACGGUCUUCAGCGGGGGCCGAAAUCCGGGGGCGUCCGGGCCGACCGGCUCGGGCCCCGCGAGCGGACUGAGAAGCCUCGUCCCACGAGGGCAGCGGUCCGUGCUCUGCCGCCUGCAGGGGCGGUACGACACGGUUGACCACGGCAACCCCGCCAGGCGCGGAAGCGAGCAGCGGUACCGUGGACACCUGCCGCCCGUGGGGUCGCGGGGUGGAGGAAGCGAGUGGGACUCCCCGUGCCGGAACGCGCGGGCCACCCCGGCGUCCACCC